rnacentral:lncRNA from 1 species
CGUGAAAUGAAAUAUACAUUCUCUCAGCGGACUUUAUAAGUCCCUUCAGGGACAAGGUCAAAGGUGGGUCAUUAUUUCCAUUUUAGAAGGUAAUCCUGAAAUUCUUGGUUUAUAUCAGUGGCCUGCCUCAUCCAGUCUGAUGGAUUACAUUCUAAUCACAUUCUAAUCUAUAAGUUAGAUUUUUGCCUUCUCUCUUACAAAGCCGUAUGGAUUGGUUAAUCCAUUUUAGACAGAAGGCAUCUAAAAUUAUUUUCAGUGAUUCAGACUUCUAUGUUUGCCAACGUCUUUGUGUAACAAGCUUUAAUUUCAUGAGACAUUCUAGCCGAAGCUACAUUUUGGCCUGUGGUUUGGAGACACUACAUCUGGGUGUUAAAGUUCAUCUAUUUCAUGCUGAGCUAAAUUGUGUUCUAGAGUCUAGAAGGGAAUACUCUUAUGCUGGGGCUUUAAGGAGCGGGAAACCAAGAAAGAUCCCAGCAAAUCAGAACUGGAUCUGACAGGAUGACACCUUAUGAGUCCUCGGUCUAGUUUGUUAGAAUGCCCACAAAACAAGACAAUUCCAUGAACGAACUGCAAAACAAAAACCAAGAAAAACCAACAAUAGCACAUGCAUGCACUUCAGCUAAGGAGAUAAAAACAUUGCAUGGAUAAGUUCUGUUGAUGUCCUCUGGUUUCAUGCUAUUGCUACUACUGACCAGACAGUUACUAUUCAUUUGAUAUUAUCAUAAGCAUGUAGAGUCAGUGGAAAUUAGAUGUUUCUUUGUGGUUUAUUUGUGUUUAACACGAUUGAGGGAACCAUAACUUAUUCUCAAAUGGAAAUCUAGAAUGUGCUUCAUCCUGUCUUCCCUUCUUUGACAAUUGCUUAUCAAGAUCGCCUAGAAAUUUCAAUUCAGCUUUUACGACUUAAAUGAAUUGUCACCUCCUUCUGGAAGUUUCCCUGAAGCUAAUGGAAGAGCUGGCACUUUCUCUACCAUGUUCCAUGUGAUGCCUUCAAUACUUCUCAGUUACAAGACAGAAUUGGUUACAUUCUGCAACAAUUUAUUACAUGUCUCUUGAGUUCCUCAAGGCAGGAAUGGUAUUCUGUCCUCUCUUUGUAUAAAAGAGGAGUGCAGGGCAGGAGAAGGCACUUCAUACAUAUUUGGUGAGUUAAUUGUUGAAUGAAAAGAGACACACACACUUUUUGUAAGAGAUUUGGAGCAGUAAGGGGAUGCCUGAAAUGUGGAGUUCUAGGGAAGAUUUUAGAGGUGCAAAAUAAUUAAAAUAUCUUUUCAAAUCUAUACAGUUAUCUGCAGAUUCUGAUCAUUUUCAAGCAGGGGAUGAUGAGAAGAUAUAGCUUAAAUUAAUGAGAGCGAUAUUUUUUUUCCUUGUUAAGAGGUAACAUGCUAUUUUUAAAAAGAGACAAGAUCUUGAAGGUUCUUACUAUGUUUCUACCUUACAAGUUAUGUGUCUUAGCCUCGGUGUUCUCAUCGGUAAAAGCAGGUUCAUAUCAACUUCUCCAGAGUAAUUGUGAGAGUUCAAUGAUGAUGUUGCUUGUCAUGUUCUCAGCAUUAGUGUCUGCACAUAAACUCCUAGGUUUGUGGCAUUUAUUAGUGAGCUGCCCUUUAACCCUUCCCUUCUCUAAUAUUCAAAUGGGCUAGAAAUUCAUUUCCCAGAAAAUGUUCACAUAUAGGGCAAAGACAGCAAACCUCUGAGAGUUCCUACCACUGUAGAAUCCUGUGACCAUAAUCAUCUUUGAAAUGUGCUUUGGAUUCUUUAGAAGGAGAGUGCAUUGGGAAAAAAAAUAAUGUUGUUAUUUUUUGAAUAUUCUUUGACCUAGAGGGCAAUGAGGUGAGGCACACAUUUCUGAGGCUGCUCAUUGCGUGGGUACAUUAUUUUUGCCCAUCUGUCAAUGAAUUAGUCUUUAAUUUGGGCUGAGCCAUUUUGGUAUUUCAAAACAAACAAACAUAUUUUGAAACAGCACAGAAAAAAUGUCAUUAUGGAUUUUAAUAUGUUUACUAUGCUUUAUUUGGGGGGAUUUUGAUAUGCAAAAUUCCACUUGAAAUGCAGAGGGCAUCGCCACCAUUGAUUUUCAGAGUACUAAAAAUAAGAUGUAGUCAUGUUCUUCUCCCCCCUCCUUUUCUCCCCUCCUUAUUUGAGUAAUUGUAUGGUACAGAGCUAACUGACAAGGAAAACAGAAUGCUAAAACCUAACACUGGGUAAGCUGGCCUGGCCAGGCAAUCAUCACUAUGGACCCCAUCCAGCCCAAAAUAGCCUUGAUGAGACUCUGAGCAAGAGCAGCUGUGGAGGCUUCUCCCCGAUUCCAAGGGGGCAGCCCGCCGGGGCAGCCACAGGAUGCCUUCUAGCUGCCAAAGGCCGACCUUUGCUGGGCAGCAGACACACUGUCUCCUCAUAGCUCUUACUUCUUCAACAUGGAAGUAAGUCCUAGAGGGCUGCAAGGAAGGUUCCCUUCCCGGACAGUGUCUCUUCUCACUUCUCUGACUUUCGCUCUGAACCUCCUUUUGUUUUGCUUUGAUUUUUAGGGAUGCUUCCCUAAUGAAAGGGGUCAUGAUGUUACCACUGCCAAGUGUCCUUCUUUGACGCCUUUGCUUUGUACACUCGCCUUCAUUGUUCACAGCGUUUUGCAUCACACCUUCAAGGAGGCCUCCUUCCUUGUCAUCUGUAGAGUUAGUCGUUUGCUCCUCUCUGCUCCCUUAGCAUUGUGCAUCUUCAUCAGUCUUUUAGAGUCUGUUUUUCUCACUCUCCUGCAAGCUCCUCGAAGGCAUGUCUUAUUUGUCAUUGUAUCCUCCAGUGACUACCUCGCAUAACGUAUGACAUGUACUAAGUGCGUAACAAUUUAAUGAAAGAAUGAAUAAAUGAAUGACCUAGAGAGUUGUUGGACCAGGAAAAGAUGUGCAUUUUUUUCUGAAAUGAGGAAGUGUCACUGGCUGCCUCUACCUUCCAGAGAGGGGCUUUUUAUGGUCCCUCAGACUUUCUCUGUAACAAUUCCUAGUCAGGAUACUCAGAGGUACUGAAAUUAAGCCCAUGGCAAGAAUUAGAAACUGUAUUUAGCAAAGACUUUUUUUUUUUUUUUUUUUUUUUUUGGCUGAUGCUGAUUUUUCCUAUCUCUGUGAAACUCCUCCACUUCCUCAGUUCACUUAUUUUUGUAACCUCUCUGGAGCCUCGACUCUGGAUCUCAUAGGACCCGAUUUGGCCACUCCAAGCCUAUCAUGGGCCAUAGCAUCAGAUAGUUUCUUUUGGACUUACCUCCAAGCCCAGUUGUGCUUGUGUAUAUUAUUCUGACUUUGCUAAGUUCUAUUGAGAUGAAUGGGGUGUUUGUCAAGGCACAUCCCUUUGGGACAUUGUGAAAAGGAACUGAUCUUAAGUAAUGAGAAGUUGUAUAAUUGAAUGGACUGUGAUGAUGAGGCAGAAAAUACUACCACAUGCAGCUCUGUUCUUCCUCCUGGGGAGAGAGUGACAGAGGGAUCAUUGCUGUCUCUGGUAGAGAUCUCUUAACCAGUUUGGACUUGCAGAGUAUAGAGUGGAAUAAGGGGUACCCAACAAGUGAAUUUUUGCUCAGUGAUUAGACAGCUGGCAGUACCUUCUCAGCUUUCUGGAAGAAAGACAUACGUUGAAGACAGACAGAAAUUUAGCAUAUUUUAAUAGAAAAAAAAUGUCAAAGAGAGUCAAUAGAGUUUGUAUUGGGGUUCGUUUUUUUUUUUUUUUUUUUUUUUUUUCCAGGGAAAAAAAUAGGGAAGUUAUGUGCUGGCAACUGGGAGUCAGGUAUGAUUCACAGUUUUAUCUCUGGUUUAGUGCUGAGUUCUAACUUGAGGGAGAAAUGGUGGAACAUUCUGACUCAAGUGCCUGGUUCAGAGUAGGAUCAAGAACUCUUAUGAACGUGUGUCAUCAUACACUGCAUGAGCCCCCUGUAUUGGUGGGAUAAAGAUCACCCAAAUAAAUGAAAGUUGAACUUCACCUGUAAAACCACCAUAGAGGUGAGCCAAAGUAGGAUAAGUCAGUAGAAGCUACAUAGGGAUCUUACGGUUUCUCCUGUCUUCGCUUCCUCUCUUUUCUAUGUAAAUGAGAUAUGAUUGAAAGAACUUCAUCAUGAAACUUGGGGUCGGUUGCUGCAACAACAGCCCUCCGUGGUACCACUGUUGGUCUCUAGUCUUAAUGACUUUGCACAAAAAUGCCUCCUUAUUCUUGGGCGUUAUUGAGAGAUCUAUGCUUUUGCUGUCUAGCAUAUGCAGGAACUGGUGUGUUUCCCUGUUCUGGGAUCCUGUUUAUUUCUUGUUUUUAUAUGAUUACCCUUCUUGGCUCCUUCAGCUGCUUUUCAUGUCUUAUGAUCACUCCUUCAGGUCUUUGAGUUGGUCAAGUAGGAUGUAGAGCUAGCCUGCUCAGUUCAUAUUCUGGCUCCUUAAACUGUGCAAGGUAGGACUAACUAUAAUGCAUUAUAAGGGAAUUCUCUUGGGAAUGAGACAUGCUAUGGAGAUAACUCAGAACUGUAGCUAAUACAGUAGGUAUUCAAUCUGUGCUAGAUUUAGUUACUGACUCUUAAAAUCAUACUGAUGGAUCUAAAGGCUAUGUGAUGACAUUGGCUUAUUAUUUACAUUGAGUGAAAUGAAUUAAACUUUUUUUUUCUGGACAUGGGCAUGAAUGAAUAUGCAGCAGUAUCAAUACUUAAUAUUCACUAAAUUAAACAGAUUACCAAAAAGUCCUUAAACAUCAAGAGGACAAGAAAAGUUAAUCCAUUUGCCAUUUUGUCUUUUUGAAAAAAAUAGAAUUAAAGGUUCCACUUGAAUAUAAGGUUAACAUUUAGAUACUAACUGUCUUUGUAAUUCUUUCUUAAAGGUUCUUGUCUAAUUGUUAUAGUAAUUAGUGAAAGUUACCAGCAUGAGCUCUGGACUCAGUCCUGAGUUGGAAUCCUGCUUCUGCAACCUACUAGUUGUGUCACCAUGUGCAAAUCAUUUAACUCUUACUACUCAUUUUAUUCCCUGACUGUAAAACAGAUCCGAAUAGGCACAUGGUUUGUUAUUUUAUUAAAAUGAGACACUGCAUGUAAAUCAUUUUGGUGCCUGACAUAAGGAAAGUAUUCUAUAGAAACACAUAUUGCACAGCUCUGAGGGGCUUCAUUUGACAUGGUAGUCUAUGUAAAUGGCACCCUUUUGAGUGGUGCAAUAAGUGGCCCUGAUACAAAAAUUGGUAUUCACUAACAUUUUCAUUAUGAUGACACAGCUAGGAAAAGUCCCUGUGAGCCAGAAAUACAUGAUUAUCUGCUCUUUCUCUGCCAAAUGUGGAAGCAGAAAAAAAUGGCCAAAAUGGGUAUAUUAGAAACUUACCAGUGUUUCGCUUUAAUUUCAUGUGAGGGAUUUCCUCAGUGUGUGUUGCAUUUAUCAAUGGUCAAGCCUAUGACUCUUGGGAAACUUACUGGGGGAAAGAGGAGGCAUCAUCUUUUCUUGCUAGAUGUUCCGCUCGCCAGUGUUUGAUCCUGCCCCUCACACCCCCCAGGCACGCGGGCAUCAUAGACGGCUCUUUCAGGAGGUGGUACCAGGACACCAGUAGUAUUUUGCAAGAAGGAUCCUUGGCUUUGCCUGUGGAGCAGGGAAUGUGAUCUCUAGCUGGGAGCCAAACCACAAGCAUGUGAGCAGAACCUCGAGCUUGGUUCCUGCCCAAGUACAUGUAGGGAGUGGAAAGACAGGGAACCUUUGUGAAAAUGAGGCAGCCUCACGCGCAAAGACAAUUCCACAAUGGCCAGUGGGAUAUUUCACCUUUGUCCCAAAGGAGAAACAUGGUUUCUUGUUUACCUACAACCACCUCCUUUGGAAAGGGAGCCUGCUGGUUCAUUUUCCUGGAAUGGGGGUUCGUGGCAAGCCAUUCAACCUAAAUGAGCCUCAGUUUCUUCAUCUAUAAAUUGAGACUAAUAAUAAUUUUUCUGCCUAUAGUAUAGUGUCUGGGCCAGGGUUGUUGCUCCACCAAUGCUUGCUGUGAAUGCACCCAAUAUGAUGGGCUUCUCCAGCAUGGACCAUACAGUUAUGUUUCUUCUUGUUAUUAAGCAACAGAGUGUCUCCGGUUCCAUUGUGGCAGGAAGUUAAAAUUGCUUUUCUUAAACCCCUCUCUCAUCUCACAGAUCAUAGUCCUAAUUGUUCCAGAUAUUCCAGAUAUCUAGAGGAUCCA